rnacentral:rRNA from 1 species
ACGCUAGCUACAGGCUUAACACAUGCAAGUCGAGGGCAGCAUGGAAGAAGCUUGCUUCUUCUGAUGGCGACCGGCGCACGGGUGCGUAACGCGUAUCAAACCUGCCUCAUACUCGGGGAUAGCCUUGCGAAAGUAAGAUUAAUACCCGAUGUUGUUGCUUUCUCGCAUGGGAGGGUAACCAAAGAUUUAUCGGUAUGAGAUGGUGAUGCGUCCGAUUAGGUAGUAGGCGGGGUAACGGCCCACCUAGCCUUCGAUCGGUAGGGGUUCUGAGAGGAAGGUCCCCCACACUGGAACUGAGACACGGUCCAGACUCCUACGGGAGGCAGCAGUGAGGAAUAUUGGUCAAUGGGCGAGAGCCUGAACCAGCCAAGUAGCGUGCAGGAUGACGGCCCUCCGGGUUGUAAACUGCUUUUAGUUGGGAAUAAAAAAAGGGACUUGUCCCUUCUUGUAUGUACCUUCAGAAAAAGGACCGGCUAAUUCCGUGCCAGCAGCCGCGGUAAUACGGAAGGUCCAGGCGUUAUCCGGAUUUAUUGGGUUUAAAGGGAGCGUAGGCGGAUUGUUAAGUCAGCGGUUAAAGGGUGUGGCUCAACCAUGCAUUGCCGUUGAAACUGGCGAUCUUGAGUGCAGACAGGGAUGCCGGAAUUCGUGGUGUAGCGGUGAAAUGCUAGAUAUCACGAAGAACUCCGAUCGCGAAGGCAGGUGUCCGGGCUGCAACUGACGCUGAGGCUCGAAAGUGUGGGUAUCAAACAGGAUUAGAUACCCUGGUAGUCCACACAGUAAACGAUGUAUACUCGCGGUUUGCGAUAGAUUGUAAGCCGCCAAGCGAAAGCAUUAAGUAUACCACCUGGGGAGUACGCCGGCAACGGUGAAACUCAAAGGAAUUGACGGGGGCCCGCACAAGCGGAGGAACAUGUGG